CUCUUUAUUUUUAAAAUCUUAUUGUACGAAUAAGAUAAAGGGAAAAGUAUUUUGGCCGUCCGAGUCAUGACUACUUAAUUCUGCGAUCUUUUUCGCAAAAAAGGAAAAAAGAAAAAAAUUCUGCCAUCUAAUUAGCAUCCCAAUAUCAUAGUUCCAUUUUCAUUUUUGCACCUAUUAUGAAAGUGAGAAAUAUUUAACCAGCCACUUUUCACUAAAAAUAAGUUUUUAUUCGUCACGUCUAUAAAAAGUGCGAAUUUAU
rnacentral:lncRNA from 1 species